rnacentral:rRNA from 1 species
UACGGAGGGGGGCUAGCGUUGUUCGGAAUUACUGGGCGUAAAGCGCGCGUAGGCGGCUUUGUAAGUUAGAGGUGAAAGCCCGGGGCUCAACCCCCGGAAUUGCCUUUAAGACUGCAUCGCUAGAAUCAUGGAGAGGUUAGUGGAAUUCCGAGUGUAGAGGUGAAAUUCGUAGAUAUUCGGAAGAACACCAGUGGCGAAGGCGACUAACUGGACAUGUAUUGACGCUGAGGUGCGAAAGCGUGGGGAGCAAACAGG